AUUGAACGCUGGCGGCAUGCUUUACACAUGCAAGUCGAACGGCAGCGCGGGCUUCGGCCUGGCGGCGAGUGGCGAACGGGUGAGUAAUGCAUCGGAACGUGCCCAGUAGUGGGGGAUAGCCCGGCGAAAGCCGGAUUAAUACCGCAUACGACCUGAGGGUGAAAGCGGGGGACCGAAAGGCCUCGCGCUAUUUGAGCGGCCGAUGUCGGAUUAGCUAGUUGGUGGGGUAAAGGCUUACCAAGGCGACGAUCCGUAGCUGGUCUGAGAGGACGACCAGCCACACUGGGACUGAGACACGGCCCAGACUCCUACGGGAGGCAGCAGUGGGGAAUUUUGGGCAAUGGGGGCAACCCUGAUCCAGCCAUGCCGCGUGCGGGAAGAAGGCCUUCGGGUUGUAAACCGCUUUUGUUCGGGAAGAAAUCCUCUGGGCUAAUACCCCGGGGGGAUGACGGUACCGGAAGAAUAAGCACCGGCUAACUACGUG
rnacentral:rRNA from 1 species